CCUACGGGUGGCAGCAGUGAGGAAUAUUGGUCAAUGGUCGAGAGUCUGAACCAGCCAAGCCGCGUGAGGGAUGACGGUCCUAUGGAUUGUAAACCUCUUUUGUCAGGGAAGAAAAUGUGGGACGUGUGCGCUGCUGCGUGUACCUUAUGAAUAAGAAUCGGCUAACUCCGUGCCAGCAGCCGCGGUAAUACGGAGGAUGCGAGCGUUAUCCGGAAUUAUUGGGGUAAAGGGGUGCGUAGGCGGGCUUUUAAGUCAGCGGUCAAAGCCCGGGGCUCAACCCCGGCCCGCCGUUGAAACUGGGGGUCUUGAGUGGGCGAGAAGUAGGCGGAAUGCGUGGUGUAGCGGUGAAAUGCAUAGAUAUCGCGCAGAACCCCGAUUGCGAAGGCAGCCUGCCGGGGCCAUACUGACGCUGAGGCACGAAAGUGUGGGGAUCGAACAGGAUUAGAUACCCGAGUAGUC
rnacentral:rRNA from 1 species